rnacentral:rRNA from 1 species
UUGGGAGCUCACUGGCUUCGGAGUCAUGGGAACUCUGAAGUUAAGCGAGUUUGGACUAGAGCAAUUCCAGGAUGGGUGACCCACUGGGAAGUUGCUAGUGAGUUCCCAUA